AGGAAGGUGGCUCAGUGGUAGAGCACUUGCCUUGCAUGCAUGAGGACCUUGCCUU
rnacentral:tRNA from 1 species